rnacentral:rRNA from 1 species
UUCUAUUAGAUUUUAAUAAUAGUAUAAUCUGCUCAAUGAAUUUUAAAUAGCCGCGAUUUAGUGCUAAGGUAGCAUAAUCAUUCGUCUUUUAAUUAAAGACUAGAACAAAAGAUUAAACAUUUUAAUUAUUUUAUUUUUAAUAACAAUUAAAAUUUUCUAAAAUGUAAAAAGACAUUUAUAAUAUAGAAAGACGACAAGACCCUAUUGAACUUCACUAUUGUUGAACUGGGGCAGUUAAGUAAUUAUUAUUUUACUUUUUAUAAUAAUUUAAAUAUCUAAUAUUAUUAAUAAAAAGUUACCAUAGGGAUAACAGCAUAAUAAAUAUUUAAAGAUCUUAUAUAUAUAUGAUAUUAUGACCUCGAUGUUGAAUAAUAACCUAUAUUAUGCAAUAAUUAUAAAAGGGAGUCUGUUCGACUUUUAAAAAAUUACA